rnacentral:misc_RNA from 1 species
GCCAUAUCAGCAUAACUUCCUGCAUUAGAGAAGUUGCUCUUAACGUGCUAACAAAGUAAAACUCAAGGUACCAUUUUGUCAAAAUUCAACCACUGGCCCCUAAGUGUUGAUGAGCGAAACCUGAGGAUACUAUUUUGUACUUUUCCCAAAAAUAAAAUACAUACGAUUUCAUAAAUUUUAUUUUUAUGGGACAGGCUUAGUCAAAAGAAGCACUCAAACUAUACCAAGAUUAAGCCUAUGCAAUAUAAUGUUAGUAGUAUGCCCUAUAGCAUAUCAU